rnacentral:rRNA from 1 species
AGAGUUUGAUCCUGGCUCAGGAUGAACGCUGGCGGCGUGCUUAGCACAUGCAAGUCGAGCGAGAAAAGUUCUUCGGAGCUUUUCUAGCGGCGGACGGGUGAGUAACACGUGGGCAACCUGCCUCAUAGAGGGGAAUAGCCUUCCGAAAGGAAGAUUAAUACCGCAUAACAUUGUUGAAAGGCAUCUUUUAACAAUCAAAGGAGCAAUCCGCUAUGAGAUGGGCCCGCGGCGCAUUAGCUAGUUGGUGAGGUAACGGCUCACCAAGGCGACGAUGCGUAGCCGACCUGAGAGGGUGAUCGGCCACAUUGGAACUGAGACACGGUCCAGACUCCUACGGGAGGCAGCAGUGGGGAAUAUUGCACAAUGGGGGAAACCCUGAUGCAGCAACGCCGCGUGAGUGAUGAAGGUCUUCGGAUUGUAAAGCUCUGUCUUUAGGGACGAUAAUGACGGUACCUAAGGAGGAAGCCACGGCUAACUACGUGCCAGCAGCCGCGGUAAUACGUAGGUGGCAAGCGUUAUCCGGAUUUACUGGGCGUAAAGGGAGCGUAGGCGGAUAUUUAAGUGGGAUGUGAAAUACCCGAGCUUAACUUGGGAGCUGCAUUCCAAACUGGAUAUCUAGAGUACAGGAGAGGUAAGUGGAAUUCCUAGUGUAGCGGUGAAAUGCGUAGAUAUUAGGAGGAACACCAGUGGCGAAGGCGACUUACUGGACUGUAACUGACGCUGAGGCGCGAAAGCGUGGGGAGCGAACAGGAUUAGAUACCCUGGUAGUCCACGCGGUAAACGAUGAAUGCUAGGGGGUAGGGGUAUCGACCCCUCCUGUGCCGGAAUAAACGCAAUAA